CGGACGGGUGAGUAAUGUCUGGGAAACUGCCUGAUGGAGGGGGAUAACUACUGGAAACGGUAGCUAAUACCGCAUAAUGUCGCAAGACCAAAGAGGGGGACCUUCGGGCCUCUUGCCAUCGGAUGUGCCCAGAUGGGAUUAGCUUGUUGGUGGGGUAACGGCUCACCAAGGCGACGAUCCCUAGCUGGUCUGAGAGGAUGACCAGCCACACUGGAACUGA
rnacentral:rRNA from 1 species